AAGAUGUCAGGUAUAGUCUGAUACAAUCAUUUUCAUUGAAGUAAAUGCAAAGCGAGCAAAACGUUGCCAUUUCUCUGAAACAGCUAUAUCUUACGAAAAUUCUCAGCUCAAAUACAGUCUAAUUGCUAUGAUGCCUCUCUACAUUCUGGAAAUGAGCAAAUAAAAGAGAAUGUACAAAGGAAAACCUUGUACUCUAUUUAUCAAGUUAUACAGGAGGAGGUGGCAGGUUUAACAAAAGCCAGAAUCCAACACAAUCAUCCGAAUUCAGGUCAUUUUGAAUAGCAAGGAAGUGCAAACCUCCACAGGCUUUCUUUGCUGCUUCCCAAGCUUCAGCUUCACUUGUGGAUGCAGGAUUUUUCUUGUAAGUCGCAUAAAUGUAGCGGGUAGAGAUACCCACCGACAAAAUUAACGAAGCCUUGUCAACAUCAGCUUCAAUCGAACAGACUUCCAAGCCAUUCAUCCAAGCAGCUAAGGGUUUCGCACGUGAGG
rnacentral:misc_RNA from 1 species